UAUAAUAUGCCUGAAAAAGGAUUAUUCUGAUAGAAUAAAUAAUGUAAUUUUGUUUUACUAUUAUAA
rnacentral:tRNA from 1 species